GGCUGGCCUUCGUUCUCCUGGACGGUGCUUUUUUUUGUUGUUUUUGUUUAGCUUAGAGUGUGAAGACGAGGUAGUAGAGGGCAGUGGUGGGCAGCAGGAACAGCAGGAUGGUGAACAGCAGCGUUCCUAUGAAGAGCUGAAAGUGGCAGACAGAGGACUUAACACUCGGCAACAGUUGUGUGACUCACUGAUCCAGAGGUGGAUGUGGUAGAGAAAGAA